rnacentral:rRNA from 1 species
CUGGUUGAUCCUGCCAGUAGUCAUAUGCUUGUCUCAAAGAUUAAGCCAUGCAUGUCUAAGUCCAAGCUGUGUUCACACGGCGAGACCGCGGACGGCUCAUUAAAUCAGUCGUGGUCCAAAUGGGCCAGUGCAAAUCCUACUUGGAUAACUGUGGUAAUUCCAGAGCUAAUACAUGCAACUUAUAUCUCGAAGGCGAUGGUUGUGCUUGCUUGUCUUGCGCUCUCACUGCUCUGACGGAUGCUUUUAUUAGACCAAACCGCUGAGGACUUGGGGGUUCGCUCUCUUGUCUGACUCGUUAUAUGGUGACUCUGGAUAACCAAAUUAUGACAAGCGCACGUACUUCUCUUCUGAGCGAGACGGCGCUGCCACUUUCGAGUGUCUGCCUUAUCAGCUAUCAACCGUUCGUUAUGCGCGACCGAUGGCUUUGACGGGUAACGGGGAAUCAGGGUUCGAUUCCGGAGAGGCAGCCUGAGAGACGGCUACCACGUCCAAGGACGGCAGCAGGCACGCAAAUUACCCAAUCCCAGCAAAUGGGGGAGGUAGUGACGAAAUCUAACGAUGCGGGCGCCCUUUCUGGGGCCCCGCAAUCGGAAUGGGCACUUUCUAAACAACCUGUUGAGAACCUACUGAAGGGCAAGUCUGGUGCCAGCAGCCGCGGUAAUUCCAGCUUCAGCAGCAUCUAUUAAAGUUGCUGCGGUUAAAAGGCUCGCAGUUGAAUGUCUGUAUCGAGCGCAGGUCAGGUGGACGUU